CGAGCCUGCUUGGCGUGGGCGGGUGGGUGCGUGAUUAAUUACAGACUCGGCGUGUGACAGAGGUGAACUCCGUGGUGGUACUGUCUGCUGCCGACAUGGAGGGAAAGUCUACCCGGCUAAUUGACCUGGCUUCUGUAAGGCCAUCCAUCAAGCGUGGCCCGAGUGGCCCCCUAAGAAACACAUUAUUCAGAGUCGCAGUGUCACACUACCAGAUCAAUAUCUUCCUGUGUCUUGGACCUGGCGAGAUGUCACAAAAACAAGUCCGUCACCGACCAGACUUCGCGUCCUUCUGUCAAGAUAGGUGACGGUGUACCUAAUGCAAUGGCCGUCGAGUGCAUGAUCACAAAUUUUGAGAGCAGAUGCUGCAAGGGUCCUGUUGCGUGAGCAGCCUCAAAGCGACACCUACCUGGUUGGGUGGUGGCGUUUGGCAGAGACAUCCUGCAAACUGUUGUCAUGGUGAUCAAAUUGAUUGGCAGGGACGCCUGAUUUGAAAGGAAGAAUAGAGGACAGGUGGAAGGAGGCGGGGUGUACAUCUAGUUGAACAGAUUGGGACAAAGUGAGGACUCGCUGGGUGUCAUAAGGGGAGCCACUGUCUGUUUUGGCUCUGCUUACACCUUGUAAAAGACAACCAGUAAUUACUCCAACCGUCCAUAGAGAGUAUUGGAGUUCUCUUCUGAACCUUUAACAGUAACGCCAGAUGUUAUCCUUUCUGGUUUGAAUACAAUUAAGUAGAAUCCUUUUUGGAAUUGUCAUGUUGACAGAUUUUGCCCCAGGUUUCUGGCAGUAUUUUAUUUCUCACAUCGUUAAUUUGUACAAGCCCUAAAAGCAUUAAAUCUAGGUAAUAAACAAAAGUGCUUUUAUUUGUUCUUUUUCAUUAGAAACACCAACAUUGAUGAUCGGCAUCAGAAGAGCAAGGUUGACCACCUGUGGGGGAAAGAUUGAUGGAGCUGAAACGGGGAUGAAAUAAUUUGUGCAAAGGGAAAACCAGCGGAAGCCAUUUGUAAGGAAUCCGUGGAAGAAAAAUACACAGAGGAAAAGAGACGGUACGGGAGAAGAGAUGAGGAAUGAGAACAGGGAGGAGCGAGAGGAAGGGAAUGGCACUCGGGGGACUGAGUCUCAACUGUUUGUGGUGACAGCCUCCGGCCUCUGGCCUCCUCCCCAACGCUUCCUGCUCCAUUUCCUUUUCUUUCAUUCCUCAUUUUUUUUCUUAUUUUUUGAAUUAUUACUGUGUGGCUUGCUCGUGGUCACUUCCGGGUUCUGUCAGGUUCUCCCAUCCUUGUUAAAAACAAACAUAUGGCAUAUGUACUUUAAUUCUCACUAUACACUCGACAUUUCAUUAGUAAAAGCAGGGUGCCCUUUAAAUUCCACAAGGUAAUGGAGGCAAUCCAAUGUAUUGAUUUUGGUUCUAUUGACGUGAUUGCAUCACAAACUUGAUGCAUAUUUUAGUGCUGUACCUCCACGAUGUAAAUGUGCUGUUCCAGCCCAUCCCAUUAUUAUUUUGAGCUCUGGUGAAUGUAUAAGCUGUGAAGUCAUUUUUCAUCCCAGGUCAGGCUCUACGGAGACAAUGCCCUGUGAGGCACAUUCGAAAACUGUGUCAAGACACAGACAUGCUGGUUCUGUUUGGCCAAUACUGAAGGGGAAAACUUGUAGUUUAUAGUUAGGGUUUGAAAUAUAUCUUUUGUGACCCCUGUACCGGAACUUUUCACGUUGCAGGACAACAUUCCACGUUGUACCCUUGUCCUACCACUGGAGGGCAGGAGUGAAUUGGCUUUGGCGUUUCCGUAGCCACAGAGCGUCACAUUUACAGUUGGUUUUGCUCCACAAAACUCGUAGGACGAAUUUGACUUACUUUUGUUCGUUUUUGUCAAUGGGGAAAAAUGCAAACUAUUUCAACU